AUUGAACGCUGGCGGCAUGCCUUACACAUGCAAGUCGAACGGCAGCAUGAUCUAGCUUGCUAGAUUGAUGGCGAGUGGCGAACGGGUGAGUAAUACAUCGGAACGUGCCCUGUAGUGGGGGAUAACUAGUCGAAAGAUUAGCUAAUACCGCAUACGACCUGAGGGUGAAAGUGGGGGACCGCAAGGCCUCAUGCUAUAGGAGCGGCCGAUGUCUGAUUAGCUAGUUGGUGAGGUAAAGGCUCACCAAGGCGACGAUCAGUAGCUGGGCUGAGAGGACGAUCAGCCACACUGGGACUGAGACACGGCCCAGACUCCUACGGGAGGCAGCAGUGGGGAAUUUUGGACAAUGGGCGAAAGCCUGAUCCAGCAAUGCCGCGUGUGUGAAGAAGGCCUUCGGGUUGUAAAGCACUUUUGUCCGGAAAGAAAUGGCUCUGGUUAAUACCUGGGGUCGAUGACGGUACCGGAAGAAUAAGGACCGGCUAACUACGUG
rnacentral:rRNA from 1 species